GUUGAGGCACCUUUGGAUCCAAAGAAGGAGCUGGAAAGAUUAGUAUCUGAACACAAGUAUGGGGAAGCAUUCACUUCAGCCCUUCAAAGAAGUGAUGUCACCAUUGUGUCCUGGUUAUGUUCUCAGAUUCAACUUCAAAGACUCCUAUGGCAACUCACAUUAUCACUAGCACCAUUGAUCUUGUCCUCUUUUGGUGGGUUGAUUUACAAGCAAUUCUAUCAGUUCUUCCUCUUCCUCUGAGUCAAGGAGUCCUGCUAUCCCUUCUCCAACAGCUAGCAUGCGAUAU